AAUUAGCUGUCGUGUUGGUGACUGCUUAUCAAGUUUUUUGAUCUAUAACUUGAAAAAUUUGGAUACCGAUUGAGUUCUAGUUGCAGUAAACCGAGCAUGUACUCGGAAACGAAUACGGAAACAUUGGCAUCCCCCUGGUAAUCCAGGUCAUAAACUGAAGUAAAACGGCACGAUGGUUAAUUU
rfam:Cyanobacterium stanieri PCC 7202, complete genome.